CCCUUAGAUGUUCUGGGCCGCACGCGCGCUACGCUGACGGAGGCAGCGAGCGUGUCCUUCGCCGGCAGGUGCGGGCAAUCUUGCGAGUCUCCGUCGUGCUGGGGAUAGAUGGUUGCAAUUGUCGAUCUUGAACGAGGAAUUCCUAGUAAGCGCGAGUCAUCAGCUCGCGCUGAUUACGUCCCUGCCCUUUGUACACACCGCCCGUCGCUACUACAGAGUGCCCGUGUCCAAGAAACGGUCGGACCUGUGCGGCCUCUCCGGGCGACCGGAGGGCCGUUACGGGGAAGACCCUUUAUUUGACGCGGGUCGAUGAAGUAAAAGUCGUAACA
rnacentral:rRNA from 1 species